UUGACAAAGACUGAAGUCCUUUUUCUGUCCUUUGAAAUGGUACAGCUGAGGCAUUAGCAUCUUCCCAAAAUGUUGCCUUUGCCAAUGUGCCUUAAAUCUGGCCUAGAGGGAUCGACCCAAAGGCUGGAGGGAAAUUCAGUCUAGUCUCCUCCUCUGUUUUCG
rnacentral:sRNA from 1 species